GGUGGGGAGGUGGAGAACCUUUGUGUCUAGCUCAGGGAUUGUAAAGGAACCAAUCAGCACCCUGUCAAAACAGACCACUGGGCUCUACCAAUCAGCAGGAUGUGGGUAGGACCAGAUAAGAGAAUAAAAGCAGGCUGCCUGAGCUUGCGGUGGCAACCUGCUUGGGAACCCUGUUACACUGUGGAAGCUUUGUUCUUUUGCUCUUUGCAGUAAAUCUUGCUGCUGCUCACUCUUUGGGUCCACACUGCUUUUAUGAGCUGUGACACUCACCGUGAAGGUCUGUAGCUUCACUCUUGAAGCCAGCGAGACCACGAACCCACUGGGAGGAGAGAACAACUCCAGACGUGCCACCUUAAGAGCUGUAACACUCACUGCGAAGGUCUGCAGCUUCACUCCUGAGCCAGCAAGACCACGAACCCACCAGAAGAGCGAACACAUCCGAACAUCAGAAGGAACAAACUCCGGACACGCCACCUUUAAGAACUGUAACACUCACCACGAGGGUCUGCGGCUUCAUUCUUGAAGUCAGUGAGACCAAGAACCCACCAAUUCCAGACACAUCCUUAUUGCCUUCAUGUCUUGAUGCCCCGAGAGCAUAACAGCUCGGGGCAUGCCACGGGUGCGUGGGGAGAUAACACUCCCUUGAAGUACUGGAGUAUAAUCAAACAACUUGGCUCCUGCUGAAACCCGCUCCCACCUGUUUCGGUCCUGAAGGGGACAUUUGGAUACAGACACAGGCAUGAACAGAGGAGAGACCAUGUGAAGAGUCACAGGGAGAAUGCCAUGUGAAGACAGAGGAAUGGAAUUAUCCAUCCACAUGCAAUAAAAUGCCAAAGAUUGCCAGGAAGUCACCAGAAGCUUGGAACAGUCUGAGACUGGUUCUCACUUUGCUGAGCUGUCUGGAGUGCAGUGGUGUUGAUCACAGCUCACUGCCACCUCAAAUUCCUGGGCUUAAGGGAUUCUCCUACCUCAGCAUUUUUCAAGAAUACAGUAUAUCCUCAUUAACUAUACUCACUAUGCUGUACAACAGAUCUUUGAAAGUUAUUCUUCCCAUUUACAAUAAUACUAUGUAUUUUGAUUAAUAUCUUACCAACCUACCCUUACCCAUCUGCCCCAGCCUCUGGUAAUUGCCAUUCUACUCCAUUUCUGAGAUAACUUUAUUAGAUUCUACAGAUGAAUGAGAUUAUGUGGUGUUUGUCUGUUUCUGACUUAUUUUAGUUAGCAGAAUGUCCUCCAGGUUCAUCCAUUUGUCAAAAAUGAAAAGAUUUCCUUCUUUUCUAUGGCUGUAAAGUAUUCCAUCAUAUAUAUACAGCACAAUUUCUUUAUCCAUGCAUCUUUUGAUGGACACUUAGGUUGAUGCUAUAUCUUGUGAAUAAUACUGUAAUAAAUGGUAUCUUUGACAUGGUGAUUUCAUUUUCUUUGGCUAUAUACCCAGGAGUGAGACUGCUAGAUCAUAAGAUAGUUCAGUGUUUAAUUUUGGGGGGAACCUCUAUACUGUUUUCUAUAAUGGCUGUACUAAUUUAUAUUCCUACCAACAGUAUAUAAGAGUUUCCUGUUGGGGCAUGGUGGCUCACGCUUGUAAUUCUGGCACUUGUGGGAGGCUGAGGCAGGUGGAUCACGAGGUCAGGAGAUCGAGACCAUCCUGGCUAACAUGGUGAAACCCCGUCUCUACUAAAAAUACAAAAAAUUAGCCAGGCGUGGUGGUGGGUGCCUGUAGUCCCAGCUACUCGGG
rnacentral:lncRNA from 10 species